AUGAAAGAGGGCUCGUGGCGUGCACGGACGCCGGUUAGUAGCGACAGAAAAACUUGUCUGGACGACCCGAUCCGAAUGCAACCGUUAGGAAGAAAGUCUCAUCUGGCUCGCUCUCACACGACUGAAAUCAGUGUAUUGGACACGUGGUUCGGAGAAGUGUUGGUUUUUAUUACUUGGCUUGACUGAUGGAUACAACAGCGAUAGCCAGUGGUAAAGUUAGCCGAGAAUAUUUGUUAAAGAUAACAAGAGGCGGCCAUGUUGGUGUGAUGACGUCAUUCUGAGAAGGAAGGGUUGAUAUGUGAAACUGAGCAUCCUGGGAAAUCAUAAAGGAGAGUGACGAGCUACGAAACUAAAUUUUGAUUCGCUUUUUUUUUUUUAAGUUUAUCUUUAUGGCACAGACUUCAAGUUUUAAUAUGUGUAGCGAUAGACUUCAUUAUUAGAAAAUGUUUCAUAACAAUGUCGACGUCAUAUGGCGAAAGAUGUCCAAUCAGCUUCUCGAAACUCCACCAUCGUAUUCUCGAGUGAAGAGCAAGAGUUCAGUACAGAGAACAACUCGAGACUUUGUUCGUUUCUUAUCUGUUCCUCUACAUUGUUCUCCAACGAGGACUUCAGAUUAUCGGAUUUCAAUAAUUACACACAAAAUAAGCUUUUUUCUCAUCUAACUUCGAGAUAAAGACUGGCGAAAAACCGACAAUCGUUCACCCGAACACUCGGUACAAAUGAAAUAUUUCCUUUGCCCACAAAUUCGC